UUUUUUUUUUUAAUUGAGAAGGAAAAAGAAGAAAAAAAAAAGAUUUGCCUGGUUUGGGUUUGUUCCAGGCUGAGCGUCUGCCUUCUGCUGGCCCUCUGCCUAGGAGCUGCCAUGGAAUGGAAAUAGCCCAACAUAAGCCUGUGAGCAGAGGGAGCUUCCAGCAGGUAAAUUGUGAGUGAGUUGAGGCAAAGCCCCCAGUCAUUACACUGUGGGCCUGUGCCAAGGGGCGGUGUGCUGAGCCACAAGCAGUUGGCAGAUGUUUUACUUGAGUCUCUGGACAGUCAUCCCCAGGGACCUGGUGCUUACCUGGAUCCUGUUCUCUAUCACCCCAGCUCUGGGAGGUUAAUAGGAUGCACAGAAAUGCCUUGUGCAAAGAGGCGCUUCCCCCUCUGGGUUGUCACCACAAAAGUCCUGCAAAACCUUCCCAAGUGCUGCGGGGCAGUGCAGGGAGAUGUGCAGUUGUGUGGGGUUGUGACAUUGUGCUGGCUGCUGGCCUCGGAUCGCUGAACUGGGAUCACCUGCAACUUGUCCCCAGGCUGACUUCCCCGUGGGUUACAAAGGCAUUUGCAUGUAUUGCUUUGAAAUGCCUCCCUAUUCCCAUCUCACCAGCUUUCUCCAUCCCAAUGGAGAGAGGAAGGCAUCCCCAAGCUCCCCUCUUGCCACCUGAAUUGCUCCACCUUUCCCUAGCCUGGUUUCUCUUCUUUCUCUCACACCUAAUACAAGCCCUUUGCUCCCUUGGACCAUUUUUUUCAGGUCUGCACUUGUUCCUCCUACUGAGCAGAGCCAGAGGGGAGACCCACCUGGCCUGGAAGAGGCUCACAGGCAGGCAGCAAGGUCCUGCUGUCAGCUCCAGGCAAGGGUGUUAGGGAGAAGAAUCGGCUUGCCAGAAGGGACAUCUCAGGGAAAUUGGCUACUUCUGGAAAUAAAAAAGCUGUUUUUCUCUGCAGAUACCAGGAAUGAUCACCUCGAGGAAUACUUGAGGUCAUGGAGAGAUUAAAUGCUGCACGUACAAUAUUCCCCAUGUGAGUCACUUGUCACGAACCCCAGGAAAUUGCACAGACUCAUCCAGGAGGGAUGUUCAGGGUUAUCGCCCACCACCAGCCAGCGCUGCGAAGGCUGUAUCUGGCUCCAGGGGUCCAUGCCAAUCCCUGCAGUAUCCGACCUCAAGAAAGGAUGCUCCCCAGAGAAGAAAUCACAUACUCUGCCAGGCACCUUUGACUUUCAUCUCUGCAGCCCACUGUGUCCUGAGCUGCCCAUUUCAAGGCACAGGACAUGGGCUGGUGUGUGGCUGCUUGAAUUAAAUGCCAUUUUUCACA
rnacentral:lncRNA from 1 species